GAUGAACGCUGGCGGCGUGCCUAAUACAUGCAAGUCGAGCGAACGGACGAUAAGCUUGCUUCUCUGAUGUUAGCGGCGGACGGGUGAGUAACACGUGGAUAACCUACCUAUAAGACUGGGAUAACUUCGGGAAACCGGAGCUAAUACCGGAUGAUAUUUUGAACCGCAUGGUUCAAAAGUGAAAGACGGUCUUGCUGUCACUUAUAGAUGGAUCCGCGCUGCAUUAGCUAGUUGGUAAGGUAACGGCUUACCAAGGCAACGAUGCAUAGCCGACCUGAGAGGGUGAUCGGCCACACUGGAACUGAGACACGGUCCAGACUCCUACGGGAGGCAGCAGUAGGGAAUCUUCCGCAAUGGGCGAAAGCCUGACGGAGCAACGCCGCGUGAGUGAUGAAGGUCUUCGGAUCGUAAAACUCUGUUAUUAGGGAAGAACAUAUGUGUAAGUAACUGCGCACAUCUUGACGGUACCUAAUCAGAAAGCCCCGGCUAACUACGUG
rnacentral:rRNA from 1 species